UGUGCUGUAGGCACCAGCUAGAUCUUGCCCUCCAUAUAUUUAUACAACUUAAAAUGUCCUAUUUCCAGAAACAGCCAUUGGACACAUCUCACUUCCCAGAGCCCAUCUAAUCAUCCUAUAAAGGCAUGUUCAGAUCCGGGUAGUCAAGCCCAAGCAAGGUUUAUUUGUUUUCAGAUACUUUCUCCCCAUUGAUGACCUGGAAAUUCUUUCCAGAAUUGCCAGUAAGUUCUGUUUUCAUCUUAGACAAAUGACCACACAGUCAGAUAAAAAAUUACACAAAUACCUAACUGGUGAUGGGAAAACGAUGCUAAGUUCAUAAAACCAUUCUUAACUCAUUAGCUAAUAUUGUUUGGACUCACGUUUACAAUGUCUCAAGCACGGUAGGAUGAUUAGGUUUUGUUCAAAUCAGCAGGCAGGCUUAGAGGGGGUAGGUAGUUUUCUUAAGUGUUUCAACAACACAUUUUUCAGACAAUUUAGAGUAAGCAUGGCAAUUCUUCUCAUUACUUAAAAAAAAAAUGAGUGGCCACUCACCUCCCUCACUCUAUGGUGGUAUUUGACAAUAUUUACAAAGCAUAAAUACAACUUUAAAAAUACAGAGUGUGCAUGUUGAGAGGUCCCAACCAAGGGCAUGAAGAAGCAGAGCGCGUGCUCAGCCUCCAGGAACAUCCUGCUCUGUAUGUUUCUGAGACAGCAGCUCCAGUUCCUUCGGUUCCUUGAUUAAAUCUUGAUUAAAAUCAGUGCAGCAGUUGUCGAAUGGGAAGUGGUUCUCGCCCUCCUUGCUCUGUUGUAGGUAACAUCCCUUGAUUGCUUCAGACAGUUAAAGGUGCUUUGGUAGUAAAAGGACAGCAAGAUUAAUGGGCAGUCAUUUCCAUAGUAACAGCAAAGCACUCUGGGAAACGGAGCCACUUGGGAGUUGGAGUUACACAUGCCAGGAUUUCAGCUCCCAUGGCAACAGCAGAGUGUGGGGUGGAGAUGAGCACACUUUGAAACUUAGCAAAGGUCCGCUCACUGAAGACAAUGUAUAAUCAGAGUUGUCAAUCUAUUUUAAAACUCGAAGUUAAAAUAAAUCAAAUUUGAGGCCACACGCUGAUGCAAAACAUUUAAAAUACACUGUACAUCCAACUGAAAAUUUCUGAAGCAUAAGCACAAAUAGUUUAAGAACUAUCCAAUUGUGACAACUUGUUAGUUUAAAAAAAAAUCCAAUUACCCAGAUUUUUGUCCCAGAGUAGUUGCAGAAAAUUACACAAUUAGAGCGAUUUUUUCUCAGCUGCUCCACUAUAGAAAACGAAAGUAAUUAUACAGAAAUAGUGCAAAGUGCUUUUCACAACUGCAAGUUUCAGUUUUGCUUUCUUUAGAAGAAAUUCUGUUUUUCUUCUAGAUAAUCAUCUCACCAAAAAGUUGGAGAGAGCCAGAGUAACAUAGAGAGAGAGAGAGAGAGAGAGAGAGAGAGAGAGAGAGAGAAACAACAGCUAAAAGAAGAAUCAGGAACAAAGCAAAAGGUAAGAGGAAUACUAAAUGACUCAUGAGAAACCGAAAAGAAUCCAAAAAAAGCUAAGAACCCAGAAUCUCAAUUACAGUAGUAGGAGAAGGCUGGCACAAAAAGGAUCCCCUGGUGAUAUUAACACCGGAGUCCAUGUUUUUGAAGGUCUCCUUUACCAUGCAUAAAAUCAGAACCCACUUGGGAAGUCAGCACCCGCUUAGCACAGGACUUUCUUUUCCUUCUAGAGAGAUUGAUCAGGUCCACACAGAUAUCAAACAGAAGUUUGGGGAUUAUCUGGUGAUAGCUUGUAGGUAGUGGUUAAUUGCUAACAGAACCUAUUAUAGUAAAUCUGUAUGGGUAGAUCCACACUUCAUUAAGAACGUUUUUGCCAGAAGAAUUUCCUGAGAUGUCAUUGUAUGUGCACAAGGAGUAGGGGAGAUAGAUAAUAGUGGUCCAGUCCAGUUCCUCUUCUGGUUGCCCAUUAUACCCAGGAGGCUGUGGAUACCAAAAUGUCCUUUAGGCAUGUGAAGACUCUGGUCAGUUUUCUCAGAGAAGAGCAAAGUCUGUUUGUGAAGGCUCAGCUCAACAUCUACAUUGAAAAAUAAGACUUCUUACAAGAAGUAUUUAUGGAGUUCUCCAAAUGUGCACCAGAAGACAUUUAGGUAUGAUCCUUUUUGCCAUCACCCUAGCCAGCAUUAUUGUGUCAUGACCAAUUUUCUGCCUUUAGCAGAUUGAUCCAUGAGUAGGUACCUUUGGGCUUGGCUAGUCAAAGUCAUUAUCCAGGAUGCUGGAAUUUGGGAUUCUGUGAGCUGACUAAAGCUGUAAAUUUAAAAGCUUUGAAGUUAUUAGUGGCCAUGACUUUUGGCCCAAGGAUAAGCUUUCCAGAGAAAAGAAUAAAGGCAUAGAGAGAAGCAGACCGGAGAUGCAGGCCCGAUGUAGGUAAUGCUUAGACCCCACUCCAGCGGUGUCUGAAGCCCACGUCCUGUGACUUGGGUGUGCCCUUCCAGGAAGCUCUUGUCCACAGCCUUUUCUUGUUUGUUUGUUCGGCCACUCGAGCUCAAGCUCCACAUUCCUCUUGCAGCUAGGUGUUACAAUUAAUGUAGCAGCCAUUUCUCACAGUCUCUAAAAAAGUGGCAAAAGGAAGAAAGAGGAGCCACGGCUGAGCAAAUGGCGUGGGGGAAGGCGGAGGCAGAGAAAUCAUUGCAGUGCCGCAGUGUGACUUUCCUUCCAUCCGGAGGUUUGUGAGGAAAGGAAAGGAGGGCUGAGGAGCCACCGCAACCUGGAGGUCGACAGAAGUAUCCCGGAUAGCAGCCGCAUCAAAAACCAGACCAGAACCCAGCAACUUCCCUAACUACCUGCAGAGGAUGAUGGGAUCCGAAUCCAGCGAACAUGGAUAUGAUGAUAGGAACAGGAAAAGCCAUCUCAACAGCAUGAGGAACAGGUCCAGAAGGUAACAGAGACCUUGCACUUCUGUGCCAAACUGCCUACUGUUAGCUCCCAGACUCCUCAGUUCAGGAGAAAUGGAAACCCCACAUUCUGAAGCCACCCUGUCUGUGUCUUCUCUCUUGGUGACUGAAUGCAAUUCAUGUACUGUCGAGGCACAGCAUGACCAGAGAAGAAGGCAUGAGAUCUCCUGGAGCUGGAGUUAUAGGAGGUUCUCAGCAGCCUGAUGUGGAUGAUGAAAACUGAACUCCGGUCCUCUGCAAGAGCGGUGAGAAUUGUGGUUUUGCAUCAAGACUUUUACUGUUUCCUUGAGACAACCUGGGAAUUGAACGCGGUUCCUCUGGAACAUCAGUCUGUGCCCUUAACCACUGAGCCACAACACAUGACUACAUGUCUAUGUGUUCUGCAGCACAAAACGGACAGCACACUGUGAUGCUGUCUUCAUGAGGAACACAGAGUCUGGAGAAGCGGCCUAACCUGGUAAUUAUUUUAGAAAAUUGUGAGACAGUAGAAUAAGUCCUUGGAUGCUUCCCGUGGAAUUCUUUGGAUCAAAACAUUUACUCUGCCAGAGGGAAUAUUCCAGAAAAACUCCCAAAGAGAAGCAGUGUCCUUGGCUAUGGGGAGGACUCCAGCUUUUUACCAUUCAUAUCACCGCAAGACUUGGUUUCUAUGUUCACAUACACCAUUCCUGUAAAGGACUACCGAUAGAUAAGAACUAUGAGGAGCUGUAUCUAUUGAUGACACCAUGGAUGACUGGAGACCAACAUAUCAGCCUAGACCAGCAUAUCUGUAGCCUGUAACCUGAAUCAGGCAUGGUUCUGACCCAAGCUAGCCAAUGACCGGAAUGGCUGAUUGUAUUUAGUUGCUGUACUCCAAGGCUGAAAGGCCCUGGACAACAGGGGCCUAACACUCAGAGGAGGCCAGAAAAGCUGAUUUGUAAAAAGAAGCGUGGAGUAAUUGGCAGAUGACAUGGGGAUGUAGAAAUGGGGGGGGAAAUAGAGGAACUCUAGACUGUGAGGCUCUAAACAACAGAAUGACUGUAUGUUCUGUGUUUUGACCUACGUGCCAAUAAAUAGGUAUUGAUAGGGAAAGAAGAGAAACAUCUUAGGAUGCUAAGUUUUAGGUCCAAUGAGGACUAAUGAUGCUUUGCUUUAUGUGACGGUAGUCUGCAGUUCCUAUCUGAGGUCUAUCAAUGACCGGUGUUUGUUUUCCUUCUUUAUUUUGAGCUUGUUAGAUGGUGUAUCUGUCUGUGUUACCAAAGCAGCUGGAAUCUUAGCAAGAUGUGAUCAGAGUUCCUAAGCAAGAACAUACAGCCCAGAUUUUGAUGUGAGGACCUCUUCCUUGAAUCUCAGCUAAGCAAAUGUUCAUUGCCUACACUUCUGUUAGUUCAUCCUAUGCCUAAUGCUUUAGAAAGCCUCCUUCCAACAGGGAAACAUUCGUAAUCUACCUAACAAGAUAUUCUGGGCAUCCUGCUGUCUAAACAUGGCUCCUUUAAAUAAUUUUUCCCACAUGACUUCCUAAUUGUGGUUCUACUCACAAGACAAGCAUUCAUAUCGUAUCAUUCUUCUAGACUUUGACCAGACACUGUUUAUUAAACUGCUUUGUUAAGCCUUUAUUUCAAAUGGAACAAUCCAGAAAACCACAAUUUCUCCAGUAGACGUCUCCAAAGUCCAAAUGAGGUGGCUUGUCUAUAUUAUGACCCCAGAGUUGAACAACUCAAAAUCUCUGGUUCCAAAGCACUAGUGGGUGUUCUACUGAAGAUUUCCUGUUAGCCCUAACUCCCAAAUAGAGAUGGGGGAAGGUGUGUAAUUAUACCACUUUUUGGCCUGCCAAAUUCUUAGAUUGUGUUAAUAACAAGUCUAGGUAUAUUUACUGUUUUUUUUUAAAGCUUUGUACUCUUUAAGGACCAUUUGAUUUAACCCUUUCUUUUGUAAAGCAACUAUGUAGACUUUACAAGAUGCUAAUAUGGUAUAUCUUGAGACUCUAACAGAAUGGUUAAAUAAAUAUGUAAGGUAUUAAAAUACUACUAGAGAAUAAUUCCAAAGAAAGCGGUAUUAGUAUUCUUGUUCACAAAUUUUCAUUCCGAGAUAUGUUAUUUGAUGCUAUUGUGGGUGAAAUUAUUUCCCUGAUUUCUUAAAAAUAAUUUUUUUUCUCGAGACAGAGUUUCUCUGUAUAGUUUUGGUACCUUUCCUGGAUCUCGCUCUGUAGACUAGGCUGGCCUCAAACUCACAGAGAUCCACCUGGCUCUGGCUCCCAAGUGCUGGGAUUAAAGGCUUGCGCCACCACUGCCCGGCUAAAAAAAAAAUUAAAUUAUAAUAUGAUUCCGUCGUUUCCCUCCUCUUGUUUUCUUUCCAACCUCUCCCAUUCUUCUCCACCAGCUCCCUGCUCGCAAAUUCAUGGCUUCUUUACCUUGAAUUGUUAUCAUCACACACACACACACACACACACACACACACACACACACACACACACACACACACACACACACACACACACACACCCUGAUGAUUCCGUCUAGUGUUGCUUGUAUGUAGGUAUGUAUGCAGAUCUGACCACUUGGUAUUGGAUAACCAAUCGGGGGGAGGGGUUAUCCCUGGGCAAAACCAUUUCUCCUGUUUUCAGCAUUCCUUAGCUGCCUUGUCUAAGCUUGGAGCCUGGGCCUUCCUCCUACCACUUUAGCAUAUCUAUUGGUGGUGUUCUAGCUUAGGUUUUGUUUAGGCAGACACAGUGUUCAGGUAUCAUGGGUGCAGCUUUUCUGUCAUUUCUAGGAGACACGAUGUCACAGCAGAUUUCUUGGUCCUCUGGCACGUAGAGUCUCUCCACUUCCUCUUUUUCUAUGUUCCCUGAGCCAUAGGUGCAGGAGCUGUGUUGUAGAUGUAGCCACUGAGAAUUUUGAGUUGUGGUUUUAUGCUGUGAUCUCCAAUGUUGCAAAGAGAACACCUCUCCUUGAUGAGAGGUGAAAUCUAUACCUAUCUGUGGGUAUGAGGAUAAGAAUUUAGAACGGAGGGAUGAUGGCAGGCAGGUCAGGAAUAUUUCUUCAUUAUGAAAAGUGUGAGAGCAUCUGUCUCCUUUCUUGUGUCUUCUGUUGUGGGAAAGCUUUGGACUCCUUUAGAAAAUGUGGAUGGGGAAAUGGUCCUCAAUUUCCAUAUCUGCAAAAUGGAGAUGUCGGACUAGCUGAGAAGCGAUAAGUUCCCCUCGUUUCUGAUUAUUUUAUACAAUGUAUUAAGAAAAAGUAAGACUGAAUAGCAAUGGGAAAGUGGGUGUGGACAUAGCCUCAGCUAGAGGGUCUGUCAAGAUGAGAACCAGAAGGGUUUCGUUUACUUGGGAAGUAAAGAGCCCUGUAAUCAGGGCAGAUGCUUUCCUCACUGGCUCUUUUAAAACAGAUGAAGAAAUGACACCAUGGCUUGCCUAGAUCUGAUCCAACUGAACCUGAGGUGAACCAUGUUACAGGUCUUGGUUAAGCUACACUGGGAAAAAUCAGAGUAAGAGUUGAGUUUUUAGCAGUCUACAGUUCCUGUUCACGUUCUCGUUUACGAUCACUUCAGAGCCAACCUAGUGGUCAUUGACUUCCAUGUCGGUCUUAAUUGGUGUAGCUCGUAAACAUUUCAUAGUCUCUAGCUGAAAAGGAAGCUAUCUCUUUGCUUUGGCUGUCACCGCAUCAUCCAUAUUCCUUUCAAAAGCCCCAUUUACAGUAGUGUAUUGAGACCAAUGUCAAGGGGCACACCUUGGUCUUGCAGUUGGGCACAUAGAAGAGAAUCGAGUCUGCCUCUAGUUCUCCUCCCUCCUCCGUGUCCUUUCUUCUUCGCCUAGGCUCCACCAGCUUGUGUGGCCAGAACUCCUUACCUUCACUGCGGAGAAAAUUUCACUCCAUUGAAAAGGGCUUUUUAGGGGAGAAAUCAGACAAGUAAGGCCUGACAGACAAACACUGUUUGCCAUGUGGAAAUAAAAUGGAUUGCCAUGCUCUGGCUGGCCUAGUUACCCAUGAGGGGAAAGUACUUAGGGACAAAACACAAAACCUGUGUAUGGUAAUGACUGUUUUCUUUUGCCUUGCCUUGUCUUCUUUUGUCAUUGUUUAUGUGGUACCUGGAUAUUUGCUGGUUGGAAAAUCCUACAGGCAGCUUACACUCUUUUUGGAUGCCAUAGGCAUGACAUCUGGGCCUUGGCACCAGCUCCUCUCCAACUCAGCUUAUCUUCAAUGCAUUGCAUCUUCUCGAAUCUCAAAGGCUCUGAGUAGUGAAGGAGCCAAUGCCAUGGACAGGGAGCAUAGCUUGGAUCCAAACCCUGGAAGACAAUGGAGUCCCAUUGUGACUGACACAGUGAGCCACUGGAUGGCACUGUGGGUCCAUGAAGACGAGGAUGGGAGGACAUUUGUCUCUCUUUUUAAAAGGCCAUUUAAGUUUGACAGGUAAUUUGGCACAUUUUGAGUUUGAGUGUGCCAAAUGAUUUGGCAAAUAUUUCACUUACCUCUGAAAAUAGGCACACCUGCUGUUGUGGCCUGCAGGAAGGUGGAGGUUGGUAGCUUUUCCCUCAACUCCCUUGUUGAUGCUAAUUUCAGAGAUGAGAAAAAAAAAAAGAUUUGAGUAGGGAUAUAGAGACAACCUACUAUGGUUUCCAGUGUGGUACCAUGCUUUGGAAAAUGGCCAAAGGUUUGUAUUUCUCCUGAGCCCAACCUCUCCAUUCCCAGGGAACAUCUUUUUGUCUUCCCAGUACUGUAUUCCCAGGACCACCCCCACAUAGGUGGCUCAGCUGGCUCUUGGCCAAAUGGAUUGAGAUUUAUAUGAAGAGUUGUGUCCUCUAGUGGUACUCCAACCAAGAACAUUGGCAAAAUCCAUCUCCAACUUUUCUUUUUCUCAAGAAAUCUCUGCUGAUUACUUAGUGUGUUUAAUAACCGGAAGACCAAGGCAAUAUGAGAAUGCCUCCUAAGCUGCCUCUUAACCAUCCUGAAGGCAUUAUUAAUUUGCUGAACGUGAUGGUAACAGUCACGUGUGGACAUUCCCUACCUGUGGGAGAAUGUGGGUGACAGGCUGAAACAUGAGGCCCUUAGGCCAAGGUCCUAGUGUGCCAAAUUUAAGUCCAUCUCCUGUAAUACAUGCUACUCAGUAGGAUAUAUUGGAGUACAAAUAAAUAAAAAUGGUAUUAUUAUCAGUAUAAUUUGAAGUCCAAGCUAAUCUUUAAAAUGGUGAAGCAUUUUCAAAGCCAAUUACUAUAUUUAACACGCCUAUAGUAUAACGUGGGACCACUUGCCAAAUGCUGAGUGAUUACCCAGAACAGGUUGGGAAUGGACAGGUUAGAGAAGAGAGAUUAGUGAGUCCUGUCAGAACCAUGUAUGGACUAGUAAAAGAAACUACUGUAAUUGUGUCAAAUCUAUUAAUCUUUUGACAAAUACCAAGGAAGCAUGUGAUAGUGGGAUGACACGGGCUUCAAAAUGUGAGGAAUGGCUUCUAGUUCCAAGCCCACCCAGCAGCUAUGCCAAGACCGCAGACAUUAUUAACUCUCCAACCUGUUUUCCUACCUAAGCAUGGAAAAAGCGGUUCGGAUGAACUCCUGUGGCUAGAAACCAUUGGGAUAUCCUUUAGUUUAGGCAGUUGCAAACAUUUUCAAGUAUCUCUUGGUAUGUAUUAGGAUUGUAUAUAGCAGUAGUGGAUGGGAGAGUAUAUUUAUUUAAGUAAAAUCCAAACUAAAUAAUUACCAUUUUUUAAUGCAACAAAUAGCAGUGCCAUAAAAAGAAACUUUUGGAAACAGUGAGCUACUUUAUGAAAAAAAUACAUAUUUAUGUUUUCAGCAUCUAGCUAAUGAGUCUCAAUGAAGUUCUUUCAUAAGUUUUUUAGUCUUUAGAUACUUAUUAGUUUUUUUUUUAUUUUGUUUUGUUUAGUCAUUCCUCUGUAUCAUAACCCUAACGUUUCACUUCAUGAGAGGCCAGAUGAAGAACAUUAUGGAGGUUGAUGGUGAACUUGGUAAGAGGUUUCUGUAGACUGACACAGUGGAAACCUAUUUGGAGUGGGUUGAAAGAGAAUGGGAGGUGAGGGGCUAGUGAGAUGGCUAAUUGCGUAAAGUAUUUACUGCGCGAGUGUGAGGAGGAGAGUUUGGGUCAGCAACAGCUAUCUAAAAGCUGCAUAGGUGAGGCUGGCAAGAUGACUCAGAGAGUAAAGACACUUGCCACUAAGGCUGAAAGGCCUGUCUUUGAUACCCAGAAUCCACCUGGUCCAAGGAAAGGAAUGGGCGCCUUCAAGUCAACCUGCAACUGCCACACCUACACAAUGGCAUGCCCCACUCAACAAAGAAAUGAAUGUAAUUUAAAAAAAAAAGCUGGACAUGCAUGGUGAUCUGCUUAUAUUCCCAGUGCUUGGGAGAAGACACAGGAUUUCCCAGAGUGUGCUGGCUAGACUAGACUAGUCAAAUUGCAAGUUCCUAGUUCAGUGAGAGUUUCUGCCUCAUGAAUGAAGUAGAGAGCAACCAAGGAAGAUGCUCAGUGUCUCAACUCUUGGUCUCCACAUGGAUGCCUACUCAAAUACAUGUGAGUAUUAGAGCAUGCGAGACACACACACACACACACACACACACACACACACACACACACACACACACAUUGAGAAAUGAGGAAAUGGCAGAAGCAUGCAUACUUGGUCCUCUGUGUUGACAUGUUUUCCAUCUGUGAAUUCCACUAAGCACAGGUUGAAAAUAUUCAGAAAAAAUUAUGUAUGGAACAUGUAUAGAACCUUUUUAUCAUUGUCAUCACUUCCUAAACAGAACCAUAUAGCAACUGUUUAUAUUAUCAGUAAUCUAGAGGGAAUUUUAAACAUAGAAUGAUGUUUGUAGGUUAUAUGCUGAUAUGUCUUAAGGAUCAUGUGCAUCCAUGGGUUUUUUGGCAUCCAUGGACUUCCUAGAACUCUUGUCUCAUGAUUAUUGAGGGAGAAGAGUAUUUACAACUCUUAUAAGGAUUUUUUUUAAAGAAAAAAAGUUUCCAACAAACCAACUAAACAACAACAACAAAAAGGCCCAAACUAACAAACCAACCAAACGAACAAAUAAAAAAUCAUGAAAAGAAAAAGAAAAGAGGUAGUAACCAGUACAUUGAAUCUAGAGAGGGACUCUUUUCUAAGAAGGUAGACAUGGAAAGACUCGCUGCAUCUGAAGGAAAAUAUAGAUAUUCUUAGCCAUGUAUUUGGAGUUCUUACCAAAAGGCUGAGAUCUGGUUGUAGAUCUUGGGCUUAUUUUAAUCAAGAGCAAGACCAUCUUGUGUGCUCCAUGUCUUUAAGCAGCGCAGUCAGGGCGGAAAAGGGUUCAGGAGCACUCCUUGCUCCUGCCAAGCUUGCAGGCUUUGAUUUAAGAGACCGUAUCAUCCCAGAUCAUCAUGCCAUGGCCAAUCAUGGCAUCCAAACCUCUAAUUAAACUGACUGUGGAAUCCGAGGCUGAGAAGAGUUAGGUCUAAAGCUUUACACUCAGAAUAGUAUUGGGUAAGGAUUUAGAAAGUGGCUUUGGGACCAGAAAUAGCUCUGUGUGAGUGCAAUUCUACCAUCAUUUAUCAUUGAGUAACCCUGUAAGCAAGUUAUCCUUUGUUUUCACAUCAGCUGAAUGAGGGGACUCCAUACUAUUUCAACAAAUAAGCCUCAGAAUGAGACAUUUUCCUUCUACGAUUACUGUAAAAAUAAACCCAAAGAAGACAAAUGCUUAGUCCAAUGCUGGGUAUGAGGUCAGGGUAAACACUGAUUCACGUUAGCCAUUAUAUGAGCAUUUUCAUGCAUGAAAAUGAAACAUUACAAACUUGCAUGUACAGAAAAAAUUUUAAAAUGUUAUGGAUACUUCUACAAACAGAAUAUAAUAAACACUAGAGAAGGCACAGAGGCCACAAUGUUUAGUCUAUGCCUUGCUAAGUGUAUGACCAGCUGCAGUUACCAUGCUCAGAAGCUCUUACUCAUGGUUGACUCAAGUCUAGGUCCUUUUCCAAACCCUGUUUGGCCUGCCCUGGUGCAAUGACAGUCUUUUUUUUAUAAAAACUUCAGAGACCCCUCCCAACCAUCUGGGAUCUGGAUACCCCUUUUCUCCCUGCUCUUCCCCUGGAAUUCCUUUUGAAGAAAACCAGGAAGUUUAAAUUUGCUGGCUGUGGCUUAGGGCUGCCAGGAACGAAAACCAAUCCUCUUUCAAAGGUUCCAGAAUUGGCUGAUAGGAAUGAAAUGAGUGAAGCAGUGGAUGUAAGGCAGGAAGGGUGAGGGACACCAAAGAAAAGCAAUCCUUUCCAAGCCCUCACCAGACCCAGGAAGAAUGGUGUUCCUCUGCUUCUCUUCCGGCCGUCAGCCACACCAUCCCUGAUUCGGCCAGAGCCUUUGGGUGGGCAUCCAUCUGUGCUGUCACCCCUUAUCCCACUUCCUGAGGUUUUCACAGAUUCUGUUUCUAAUAGUCCAAGUAGCUUAGGAUGUUUGUUCUCUCUCUUGGGAACUAAUUCCACCCCCCACCCCCCACCCACCUCUUUUUUUUUUUUUAAAUAUAAAUUCCCAGCUACCACUUUGCUUAACUAUUUUUCCAAUGUUAGUUUUCUUCUUGCUGGAGAUGAAUAACACAGGACCAAAUUAAAACUCAUAGAAUAGCACAAGUUAAUUGGAGUCUGAAAAGAUCAGGAAACUUGAAGCUCAGCUUGAUAAAAAAAAACCCCAUAGGGUUUGGAAAUGAGUCUUAUGGGAACAAAAAAUAAAUAAAUAAAUAAAAAAGAAUCUGUUUUCUCUUGCCCCAGGGAUCCACUUACCAACUUCCUAUAGUAAUCUCUGAACUUCUGAACUACAAUCAAAUGCUUAGUUUAAAUAAACAAUAUGUUUAUGCUUCUACUUUACAUAUACUGGUAAAAAAGUGUCUGAGAUGCAAAAUAAAGUUUUACAAUCUUCUUAGUUACUGACAUAAACUCUAAUAUAGUAGAAAAUAGUGUAGUAAGAUGGUUGACUUCUUUUUUGAUGGAGUUGACAUGCAUAUAAUUUUCUUUCUCAAUUAAAUAUACGGAGGAUAAAAGCCAUACUGUGUAGUCUAAUGUACCCUCCCUACAGUUUUUCUUUUCAUUUCUAGAUUUGAUUUUACAUCUAGGAUGAUGAUAUAGCUUAUUUAGUAAAACACUUUUUGUACAAGAGUGAGAACAAGCUUGAGUUGGGAUCCCCAGCACUCAUAUAAAAAAGUCCAGGAAUAGGACUUUCUUAGGUCGUGCGAUCUAUAACACCUGUGCAUGAGAGAUGAAUCUGUGGAAUUCACGGACCAGUCAGUGUCAAACAGUCAAAACAGAUAACUUGUCUCAAAAGAUAAGAUGAAGAAUGAUUGAGGAAGAUACUAUCAUCCUCUCACUUCCAUGUGCAUGAGCAUAUGUGCUUAUGCAUCCUCAUGCACGUGUGCACACACAUAAAUACACACAUAAAUGUGCACACAUGUAUGUACACCUUACUUUUUUUAUGUGGUUAGCACUGAGGAAGUCCUCUAAGUAUCAAGUGGUAAUAAAUUUGAUAAGGAACUUAUUGGGGGUGAUCACAACACAAAUAAGAACUACCAUUCUGGGCUUCUGGGUAAUGGAAAUAGAACAGUUAACCUUUAGUCUAUCAGCUGAAUUUUGGCUUAAGAAUCUAAUGACACAAAGUCAUUACCCCUGAAGGUCCAAGGUCUUUGGGGAAAUGAGUAUAGUGGUUUCAGCUCCAUCCCCAAAGAGCCUGGAGUCUCCAUCAGAAUGGCUGCCAUUACAAUUACAGCUAAUUGUCACUAGUGCUGUUGGAAACAGUAUUGGAUGAGAAGGCAGACUGAAAUCACUUGCAUGGACCAUUCUAGGUAGCCUCGAACAGCUAAAGGUUGCUCCUCACCAAGGCUGAUGAAAAACUCACCUUUGAAAUUUAGAGAAAACGAAUGGAAGGCAUGAAAAUGUCUACUCAUAAGUUUAGUAGCAAAGCCUUUCUUCCCAUACAGAAUAGUGUUUUAAUAGCAGCUUCCAUUUGGACUAUAUUUUAUCAAAGUCGUGUCUGUGUUGAGACCAUGAACAAGGGCAAGGUAAAUCAGUCAGUCUACUUCCAGUGAGAAUCAAAUAUCUCUCUGGGGACAGCUACUACUAAAUCUGGGUUCUUUCAGGUGACAGAAUCUUAACUACUGCUUGUUCUGGCAAUGAAAGUCAAUGCUGGUUCUUCAGAAGAACAUCCAUCGGAGAGCCUUUAAAAUUGACUUUAGUUGGACAUUUAGAGGUACAGUUUGUUUAUUUCUUCAUCUACUGGAAGUUGUAUUUAAGCUAUAAACAGCAACAAUGAUACAUUUUUAGAAUAAAAGAGUCAACUCAAUAUAACCAAUGGAGUGAAAUAACCCUAGGCUCUUUACUUUACAUAUUUAUAAAGAAGUUUCCUACUAUGUAACGGUUUCCUGUGAAAUGCCAUAAAGGAUGUGGACAACUUCUCUUCCAAUUGACAUUUCUAAAUUGGUGACAUACAAUUACCAUCUCCAUAUUCACACUGCUAAGUAAGUUGAAAUUUUAAAUUAUAUACUUGUAGCUUCUUGAAAUCUUCCCUAAGUCUAAAAUGGACAUUCAGUGUCUUGAGAGUUGAUUGUAAGAUGUUAACCUCCCCACUCUCCUGAGCAGAAUGUGCCUCCCUGGAAAAUUCCUGAAGACAGAUUACUGCUAUGUUAACUACUUCCUAAUCUUGGAACUGUUUCCUGUGAUUAUCUUGUUCUUGUUACAUUGUAGGUGAACCCUAUCCAAUGGGAAAUUCUGCUUAUAUUCACAAUCCAAGAACCAGAGACUUUGAAUUGGAAGGUAGCCACGAAGUAGGAGUGGAUUGAGUAGGUUUAUGUGAUGGUUUGCCUGUUUGAUAAUUACAUAAAUUGUUCAAUUAUUUGUAUGGUACUCGGACAUAUGAGAUAAAUUCCAAAAAGUUCUGAUAUAGGACUUGAGGAAAUUUAGAAACUGAGUCAUUCUGGUAUUUGUUUUGAAGCUGGCCAGUUGUAAAACGUGCAUUGUUACUUUAGGGGUUUCCCAUAAAUGUUAUGAGCUGCUGUAUCUUCCCUUAACAUGGCCACAGUGUGGAAGUGGUUGGAAUUUGACAGACAGGUGGUAUCAAUGAAGAAGCCAUGCUGAUCCCAACUUUACUAGUCAGGAUCCUUCAGAGGAAUAAAAACCAUAGGAUAGAGACAGAUAUGUAAGAGAGGAUUUGUUAUAGGAAUUGGCCUACGUGUUUUUGGAGGCUGAUCUGCCAGUUGCUAGCUGGAGAUGCCAGAGAGCUGUGGUAUACUCAGUCUCAUUCUGAGGGUCUGAAGGCUUCAGGUAUAAGUCCUGGAAUCAUAAGAUCCCAAACCAAGGAGCACUGUUUUCUAAAGCAUAGGAGAAAACAGAUGUUGCAGCUCAACAGGGAGAGAGAGAGAGAGAGAGAGAGAAAGAGAGAGAGAGAGCAUGCCUUUCUUUUUGUCCUGUUUGGUUCUUUGGUAGAUUAGGCUGAUGGCUACUACACUGGUGAGGGUGCAUCUCUACUCAGGCUACUGAUCCAAAUGCUAAUACCAUCUAGAAAUACCCUCAUGAAAAAGCAUAGAAAAUAUGUUUUGCCCAUCAUCAAGGUAUCCCAUAUCCAUAUCCUAAUCAGGUUAACACAUAAAAUUAACUGUCACAGCAAGUUAUUCAGACACAUGGUAGGGAAGGAGUCAGGGGUUCAGCCCUCAAGGUCAGAGGAAGGAUUGAACCUGAAUUAUAGAGCUCUAAGGCACAGAGAAUCCACAGAAGCCAGCAAGUUCAUCCAUGAAGGUUGAACGGAAGGGAAGACAGUUGGCCGUAGAGCCCCGAGACAGAGCCAUACUUCAGGAAGGAACAAAGGUUGAAUGAAGGAAGCUAAGGACCAGCUCUAAGAAGGCUAAGACUAUGAAGAAAUUCCUCGUCCCUGAGUAAAGACACAGAGUAUUAAGCACGAAGGGUGGCCUCUGGUGUCACACUGUGGAGAAGUAAGAUAUAGAUAAAGCUGUGUUCAUUAGAUACGUCAAUACUGGGGCCAUUAGCGAGUCUGGGUUUCUGAAAGCAGUUUCUGUGGCACACCCUGACAGGAGCCACACUGCAAAGUCAGAAAACAGCAGGGAGAGAAAGCUUGGCUGUGAACUGAAACAAAAUAAUAAUAAAAAGGGAAGGUAAUCAGGGCCAUGUCCGGGGUUUUAAAAAAAUAUCCUCCCAAUUUUGUGUGUAAAGAAUUAAGAUUGUGUUUACAGGACUGGCCCACAGAAUCAGCUAAGCAUGGGCUCGCAGAAAUUGAAGCGAGAAGCAGGAACCCUAUAUAGGUCUGAGAAAACCCUGUGGAAGGAGAAGUUGAGUACAUAGUGAGUCUGGGACUGAAAGAAUGAGGCUCUGGGAGUGGAAACUGUGGCCCAAGGGACUGUGAACCCUACAGGUGAGAAGGAACACCUACCCCAGUACCUAAAUGGGUGGAAGGGAGAGAGAUCUAGAUUUAAACACAUCUGUGGGGAAGGUGCUAGAGAAAGACUUUUAUUUCCAAAAAGAAAUUACAGUUUUCAUCAGAGAAUAAAGAAGAGACUGGAAACGAAACAGAUUUUUAAAGAGCUCAAAAACCUGAAACUGGUUUAAAAACCGAAAAAACAAACAAAAAACCACUAAACAAACCUAUAGGCUGGUGAGAUGGCCCUGUGGGUACAGCCACUUGGAACCAAGGCUGAUGACUUGAGUUUUGUCCUGGGACUCUAGCCUAAUUAGGGUGACUAUUGCUGUGAUGAGACAUCAUGACCAAAAGCAACUUUGGGGAGAAAGGAUCUAUUUAGUUUGCACUUCCAGAUCAUAGCCUAUCUUGGAGGAAAUCAGGAUAGGAACUCAAACAGGGCAGGAACCUGGAGGCAAGAGCUGAUCCAGAGGGCAUGGAGAGGUGCUGCUUACUGACUUGCUCAGUAAGGCUCACAAGGCUCGCUCAGUCUGCUUUCUUAUAGAACCCAGGAUCAUCAGCGCUGGUUUAGCAUCACCCAUAAUGUGCUAGAGCUGACUCCAUCAAUCACAAAUUAAGAAAACAGUCCUAGAGGUGUGAUGGUCAAUGUUAUCUUUUAAGUCUGAAUUAAGAGAUCUAUAAAGCAAAAAUUCCUCCGACCUGUAAGCCCCACAUGCCCAGGGACAGAUAACUUCCUGGAAUACUGGAGGCUGUUCUUAUAAGAUAACAAAUCCAUGUGUUUUUGCUUCUGUAAACAAGCUUGGAGUGAACAGGAUGUGUGCUUGAUGACACGUACACAGGAAGUACGUCAGGAUGUGUGCUUGCCUCUGAUUGCACAGAGAGUGGGAAGUACUUUUCCUUGUGAGUUUUGCCUUUGACUAAUGUAAUUAGCUCCUGACAAGCGUAAUCUGGCACCAUCCUCCGAGUAUGAGUCUCAGGUAUGGACCUGGCCAGUAUCCAGGGCACUGGCCAGUAUUUAAUAAAGGGUCGUAUUUGUUGAAUUUUA